AGUGAAUGCUGGCGGCGUGCUUAACACAUGCAAGUCGAACGAGAACGGAUUAUAGCUUGCUAUAAUUGUCAGCUAAGUGGCGCACGGGUGAGUAAUGUGUAGGUAAUAUGCCUCUUACUAAGGGAUAACAAUUGGAAACGAUUGCUAAUACCUUAUAUUCCUUUUUAUCAAAAGAUAAAAAGGGAAAGAUUUAUUGGUAAGAGAUUAGCCUGUAUUGUAUCAGUUAGUUGGUGGGGUAAUGGCCUACCAAGACGAUGACGCAUAACUGGUUUGAGAGGAUGAUCAGUCACACUGGAACUGAGACACGGUCCAGACUCCUACGGGAGGCAGCAGUGGGGAAUAUUGCACAAUGGACGAAAGUCUGAUGCAGCAACGCCGCGUGGAGGAUGACACAUUUCGGUGCGUAAACUCCUUUUAUAUAAGAAGAUAAUGACGGUAUUACAUGAAUAAGCACCGGCUAACUCCGUGCCAGCCGCCGCCGUAA
rnacentral:rRNA from 1 species